rnacentral:rRNA from 1 species
CCUUAUCGGUGGAUCACUCGGCUCGUAA